rnacentral:lncRNA from 1 species
AGACGCAGGGUAUAACAUCUUGUUCAUUGCACUGCCUCAAGCCCACAGUGUAGAAACGUGGACUUGUAAAAUUAAAAAAUGCUUUAACAUAAACAUAGAAGCACAACAACUGAAACGUACAAAGCUCCUACGUGUAACUGUGUUGUAAGAGUUUAAUUGCUACUUCAUCCUGGAAUAGGUUGGAUCUAGGGAAAAGACAUAAAGAAGGCACUGCUGUGAAAAACGUCAGUGGCUGGCUGUCCAUAAAAGGCUAUAAAUUAGCCCUUUACAAUUUUGGAAAUUCA